AGACCCGAAACCCGGUGAUCUAGCCAUGGGCAGGUUGAAGGUUGGGUAACACUAACUGGAGGACCGAACCGACUAAUGUUGAAAAAUUAGCGGAUGACCUGUGGCUGGGGGUGAAAGGCCAAUCAAACCGGGAGAUAGCUGGUUCUCCCCGAAAGCUAUUUAGGUAGCGCCUCGUGAAUUCAUCUCCGGGGGUAGAGCACUGUUUCGGCUAGGGGGCCAUCCCGGCUUACCAACCCGAUGCAAACUGCGAAUACCGGAGAAUGUUAUCACGGGAGACACACGGCGGGUGCUAACGUCCGUCGUGAAGAGGGAAACAACCCAGACCGCCAGCUAAGGUCCCAAAGUCAUGGUUAAGUGGGAAACGAUGUGGGAAGGCCCAGACAGCCAGGAUGUUGGCUUAGAAGCAGCCAUCAUUUAAAGAAAGCGUAAUAGCUCACUGGUCGAGUCGGCCUGCGCGGAAGAUGUAACGGGGCUAAACCAUGCACCGAAGCUGCGGCAGCGAACGUAUCACUUAAAGCGAUUCAGCGGGUUACGAUUGACGGAGCGAAGCGACGUCAAAGCGUAUACAAAGUCGAGUCGGUUUAAGGAUAC
rnacentral:rRNA from 2 species